ACGAACGCUGGCGGCGUGCUUAACAUAUGCAAGUCGAACGGAAAGGCCCUGCUUUUGUGGGGUGCUCGAGUGGCGAACGGGUGAGUAACACGUGAGUAACCUGCCCUUGACUUUGGGAUAACUUCAGGAAACUGGGGCUAAUACCGGAUAGGAGCUCCUGCUGCAUGGUGGGGGUUGGAAAGUUUCGGCGGUUGGGGAUGGACUCGCGGCUUAUCAGCUUGUUGGUGGGGUAGUGGCUUACCAAGGCUUUGACGGGUAGCCGGCCUGAGAGGGUGACCGGCCACAUUGGGACUGAGAUACGGCCCAGACUCCUACGGGAGGCAGCAGUGGGGAAUAUUGCACAAUGGGCGGAAGCCUGAUGCAGCAACGCCGCGUGCGGGAUGACGGCCUUCGGGUUGUAAACCGCUUUCGCCUGUGACGAAGCGUGAGUGACGGUAAUGGGUAAAGAAGCACCGGCUAACUACGUG
rnacentral:rRNA from 1 species